GGGGAAUAUUGGACAAUGGGCGAAAGCCUGAUCCAGCAAUGCCGCGUGAGUGAUGAAGGCCUUAGGGUUGUAAAGCUCUUUUACCCGGGAAGAUAAUGACUGUACCGGGAGAAUAAGCCCCGGCUAACUUCGUGCCAGCAGCCGCGGUAAUACGAAGGGGGCUAGCGUUGUUCGGAAUCACUGGGCGUAAAGCGCACGUAGGCGGAUUUUUAAGUCAGGGGUGAAAUCCCGGGGCUCAACCUCGGAACUGCCUUUGAUACUGGAGAUCUUGAGUCCGGAAGAGGUAAGUGGAACUGCGAGUGUAGAGGUGAAAUUCGUAGAUAUUCGCAAGAACACCAGUGGCGAAGGCGGCUUACUGGUCCGGAACUGACGCUGAGGUGCGAAAGCGUGGGGAGCAAAC
rnacentral:rRNA from 1 species